rnacentral:lncRNA from 1 species
GGACCCUAGGGAGUCCCAAACCCGCUGCUCAGGAUUGGUGCGGUCGAUCCUCUCGACGACUUCAGACAGAAUGCAGCCAUCGAUCAGCCGCUUGAUCAGGUCCCUGUCAUUGAAGGGGUUCUCCGACUCUUCUUCGGAACCAAAGGACUCUUCAACGGUGGCUCGAUGGCUACUCCCCCUAUGAGCCACCGACUUCCUUCUCAUCCCCCU